rnacentral:rRNA from 1 species
UGGGUGAGUAAAGUGGCGUACGGGUGAGUAACACGUGGAUAAUCUACCUCUUAGUGGGGAAUAACUUUGGGAAACCGAAGCUAAUACCGCAUAAGCCUGGAAAGGGAAAGUCGCAAGACGCUGAGAGAGGAGUCCGCGGCCGAUUAGCUAGUUGGCAGGGUAAAAGCCUACCAAGGCUAUGAUCGGUAGCCGGCCUGAGAGGGCACACGGCCACACUGGCACUGAAACACGGGCCAG